GCUGCGGACCCGGAGACGCCGCUGACCUCGCGGGGCCGGCGUCCUCUCCGAGACCCCUGGACCCCCGGGGACCCUGAUCCCAUCACUCCGACCUCAGGCCCUCCCCACUCCCCUGACUCUGACCCUUGACCCUUGGUUCCAGGCCACCUGAUCCACGUUGUAGGCCGCGGGCCCUGGCUUCCGAGUGUUGUCUUGGGGGACCGGAGUCCGCGCCAGCAUCGUGAACUGGGGGGCCCGGGACUUGUAGACCCCUGGACUCACGACGUGGUAGGCGCAGGGGCCCGGGGUCUGCGGGAGGGCAGAGGGUGCUGGCUGCCGCCUCCACUGCCGCGGACCAGGGACCCCCUGCGUCCGCCCCGGCCCCUCCCCCACCUUGCUGAGGUCCUCGAAGAAACUGCCAGCCGCUCUGCGGCCAUAGAUGGAGUUCUAAAAUACAGGAAAAUAAACAAAAGGAGGUGAGAAUGGAAGCUGAACACCAUGGACCACAUCCAGCACAGUGGAAAAUCAAGAGUCCUGAUGUGAGCACAGCAGGCUUGAGAUGUCAUCUGCCACCCAGUGAUGUUCAUGGCAGACGCAGUGGAGAGGUCCAGGAUGGAGAUGCUGAACUGGGAGGCAUACACAAGCCGUGGGAAUGGAUGGGGCCGCUUAGCGCAGGGGUCACCAAGUCCAGCCACCUCCUGUUUCUGUAAAUAAAAUUUUAUGGGGGCCGGGCGCGGUGGCUUAUGCCUGUAAUCACAGCAUUUUGGGAGGCCGAGGCGGGCGGAUCACAAGGUCAGGAGAUCGAGACCAUCUUCGCUAACACGGUGAAACCCCGUCUCUACUAAUAAUACAAAAAAAUUAGCCGGGCGUGGUGGCGGGUGCCUGUAGUCCCAGCUACUCGGGAGGCUGAGGCAGGAGAAUGGCGUGAACCCAGGAGGCGGAGCUUGCAGUGAGCCGAGAUCGUGCCACUGCACUCCAGCCUGGGCGACAGAGCCAGACUCCAUCUCAAAAAAUGAAUAAAUAAAUAUAAAAAACAAAA